CGGAAUUUUGAUCUGACACAAAAAUCAACCAUCACAUACAUCAUACAACUACGUGCCGAGCCCAACAGUCGGACUGCACGG
rnacentral:tRNA from 1 species